rnacentral:rRNA from 1 species
GAUGAACGCUAGCGGUAGGCUUAACACAUGCAAGUCGAGGGGCAGCACAGGUAGCAAUACUAGGUGGCGACCGGCGCACGGGUGAGUAACGCGUAUGCAACCUACCUAUAACUGGAGGAUAGCCCCCGGAAACGGGGAUUAAUAUUCCAUAAUGUUCAGGGAUCUCAUGGUUCUUGGACUAAAGCUCCGGCGGUUAUAGAUGGGCAUGCGUGCCAUUAGCUAGUUGGUGAGGUAACGGCUCACCAAGGCUACGAUGGUUAGGGGGUCUUAAAGGAUGAUCCCCCA